rnacentral:rRNA from 1 species
ACUCCUACGGGAGGCAGCAGUGGGGAAUAUUGCACAAUGGGCGCAAGCCUGAUGCAGCCAUGCCGCGUGUGUGAAGAAGGCCUUCGGUUGUAAAGCACUUUCAGUCGUGAGGAAGGCGGCGUCGUUAAUAGCGGCGUUGUUUGACGUUAGCGACAGAAGAAGCACCGGCUAACUCCGUGCCAGCAGCCGCGGUAAUACGGAGGGUGCGAGCGUUAAUCGGAAUUACUGGGCGUAAAGCGCAUGCAGGUGGUUUGUUAAGUCAGAUGUGAAAGCCCGGGGGCUCAACCUCGGAAUUGCAUUUGAAACUGGCAGACUAGAGUACUGUAGAGGGGGUAGAAUUUCAGGUGUAGCGGUGAAAUGCGUAGAGAUCUGAAGGAAUACCGGUGGCGAAGGCGGCCCCCUGGACAGAUACUGACACUCAGAUGCGAAAGCGUGGGGAGCAAACAGGAUUAGAUACCCUGGUAGGACAGUG